rnacentral:rRNA from 1 species
GAUGAACGCUGGCGGCGUGCCUAAUACAUGCAAGUCGAGCGAACGGACGAGAAGCUUGCUUCUCUGAUGUUAGCGGCGGACGGGUGAGUAACACGUGGAUAACCUACCUAUAAGACUGGGAUAACUUCGGGAAACCGGAGCUAAUACCGGAUAAUAUUUUGAACCGCAUGGUUCAAAAGUGAAAGACGGUCUUGCUGUCACUUAUAGAUGGAUCCGCGCUGCAUUAGCUAGUUGGUAAGGUAACGGCUUACCAAGGCAACGAUCCAUAGCCGACCUGAGAGGGUGAUCGGCCACACUGGAACUGAGACACGGUCCAGACUCCUACGGGAGGCAGCAGUAGGGAAUCUUCCGCAAUGGGCGAAAGCCUGACGGAGCAACGCCGCGUGAGUGAUGAAGGUCUUCGGAUCGUAAAACUCUGUUAUUAGGGAAGAACAUAUGUGUAAGUAACUGUGCACAUCUUGACGGUACCUAAUCAGAAAGCCACGGCUAACUACGUG